rnacentral:misc_RNA from 1 species
GAAAGGACACUCGUAAAUUACAAUUCUAGUGAUCCUUUGGUUCUGAAACGAAUGUCAGAACCAAUGAUCACUAGGCGUCCUUUGGGCGCUCGCUCACGGCCUCGGUCUGUUGCUUGCGCCAUGUUGCAAGCCGGGUUGCAAGGCCGGCAUCGUUGAGCGCCAGAACGCUUGCGGCGAGCAGGGCGGCAUUGAUAGCGCCGGACUUUCCGAUCGCCAAGGUGCCGACCGG